AAGAGAGCUCUGCACACAUCCAGGGAGUGAGGUGCCGGAUCCAAACAUGUUUUGGGCUCUUGGGAAAAAGUGGAGCCCCAUGCAGAUUAGUGGAGUGGAGCCAUGCUUGUCAGAGCAGGGAGAGUGCUGCUGUCAAUGAAUGAUACUCUGAUUCAGCCAAAUGUUUGGCCAUACUCAACAGUUGCCUGGUCAAGACCCAGUGCUUUUGCCAUAGCACACACGUGCCGAUGAUACACUUUCAUCUCCUCAUUAGGGGAGACGUGCGUAGAUGGGGCCACACCAAC